rnacentral:rRNA from 1 species
UACAGAGGUCUCAAGCGUUGUUCGGAUUCAUUGGGCGUAAAGGGUGUGUAGGUGGCGCGCUAAGUCGGGUGUGAAAUUUCGGAGCUUAACUCCGAAACUGCAUUCGAUACUGGCGUGCUUGAGGACUGGAGAGGAGACUGGAAUUCAUGGUGUAGCAGUGAAAUGCGUAGAGAUCAUGAGGAAGACCAGUGGCGAAGGCGGGUCUCUGGGCAGUAACUGACGCUGAGGAACGAAAGCGUGGGGAGCGAACAGG